GGUUCGGCGGGGUUCAUGCGGGCGGCGCUGCGGGUUGUGGGGGCUCUGCUCGGUACCGCGUGGCGGAACGCGGCCUGCAGAGCCAUGGCCGGGCACAGCUCCGCCUCCACCGCCGGGAUCAUCAUUAUCGGGGAUGAGAUCCUCAAGGGCCACACUCAGGACACGAACUCCUUCUUCAUGUGCCGGCGGCUGCGUGCGCUGGGUGUGCGCGUGGCCCGCGUCUCCGUGGUGCCCGACGAGGUGGACGCCAUCGCUGCUGAAGUGGCCGCCUUCGCCUCCCGCUUCACCUUCGUGCUGACCUCGGGGGGCAUCGGCCCCACGCACGACGACGUCACCUUCGAGGCCGUGGCCAAAGCUUUUGGGGAGAAAGUGGCCCCGCACCCGGAGCUGGUGGCCCUGGUGCGUAAGUUCUUUGGCAAGACAGACAUGCAGUGCCCUGAGAUGAAGCUGGCUCGCAUCCCUGAGUCCUCACGCCUCAACUAUGGCACGGACCGACUCACAGGCAGUGCCUUCAAGUAUCCUCUGGUUAGUGUCCGUAACGUCUACAUCUUCCCGGGCAUCCCAGCACUGAUGGAACGUGCCCUGGAUGGCCUCAGCCAUCUUUUCCGCAGUGAGCAGACCUGCUUCCACUCCCGUGCCAUCUACGUGGCAGCUGAUGAGGUGCAGAUUGCUCCCGUGCUGGAUCAGGCCAACGCCAGCUUUCAGGGCCGCGUGAGUUUGGGUUCCUACCCGGACUGGGCCAACAAUUAUUACCGUGUGAAGCUGACGCUGGACUCGGAGUCGGAGCAGCACCUGGAGGAGGCACACGGCUUCCUGAUGGAGAAGCUGCCUCCUGGCGUGGUGGUGCCGUUGGUGACUGACUGCGUCUCGAGGGCUUCCACUGAGGUCUAUGCCCUGGCUGAGUCAGGCUUGGCUCUGGGACAGAAGGUGGCAGCAGCACUGAGGACUAUUGAGGAGGCUUUGGAGCGGUACAGCCUAGCGCAGCUCUGCGUGGGUUUCAACGGGGGCAAGGACUGCACAGCCCUGCUGCACCUGGUCCACGCUGCCCUGGAGAGGCGGUACCCGGAGAGGCAGGAGAAGCUGAAGGUGCUCUACAUCCGCAUCGUGUCUCCCUUCCCUGAAAUGGAGCAGUUCAUCCAGGCCACCGUGCGGAGGUACAAGAUCCAGCUGUGCACGGUGGAGGGCUCCAUCCGGGACGCCCUGCUCACCCUGAAGGAGCAGCAGCCGCAGCUGGAGGCCGUCCUGAUGGGCACGCGGCGCACCGACCCCUACUCGUGCACCCUGACCCCCAUGUGCAUGACGGACCCCGACUGGCCCCAGUACAUGAGGGUGAACCCACUGCUGGACUGGACAUACAGGGACAUCUGGGAGUUCCUGCGCAAGCUCUUUGUCCCCUACUGCAUCCUCUACGACAAGGGCUACACCUCCCUGGGGAGCAUGGCCAACACAAUGAAGAACCCAGCGCUGCUCUACACCGACGCCAGCGGCCGAGAGAGCUACAGACCCGCCUACGAGCUGGAAAACGAGGAGGACGAGCGCACGUCGCGCCGGUGAGAGCUCGGGGAGCCGCGCUGAGACCGAUGGCGUCCACAGGUGUCAUCCCCGCUGCUGGGGACGGCGCUAAAUAAAGCCGCUGCGCUCAGCGUCUCGCCCGAGCUUGGCUGCGCCGCUCCCUUGGUGCUGUGCGGGGCUCCGGCAGGAGGAACGAGAGCGGCCGCGUCCGAACAAAAGCGACCCCAGGCGGUGCCUCCCCCCCUCCCCCCGUUCCCCACGUGCGCGUCAUUGUGGCGGCUUUUGAAGCGCAGAGAAUGGAGCAAUUUCCAGCGCUCGCCCGGGGCUCCGCGUGGCCGCGCCGAUCCCUCCCCGCUCAGAUCCCGUUGCCAUGCGUCUCCUACGAACCGCGACAGCCCGGCCACCGGGCACCGUGAAGCGGAUGGCGCAGGCCGUGGAGCUGCCGGCACCCGGCGACGCGUCCCUGGGGCUGCGGCUCGGCCGCUGGGUGCUGCGGGUGCUGCGGGAGUGCGUUUACCUCCUGCUGUGCAGCUGGUGCAUCCGGGAGCUGCUGGAGUAGGGCACGGCUCCUUCCCCACGGUGGGACUGCCGGGACGCUGGACUCUGUUGCCCCUCGAUGGCUCUGCGCUGCCCGGUUUGGACCCGAUGGACCCCCAGCACCAGGACCCGGCCCACCCUGAGCCCCCCCGGCACCACGACCCCAAUAAAUCUGAGCAGUGUGUGAGCGGCUGCGUGUGUCGAGGAC